UACGAAGGGGGCUAGCGUUGCUCGGAAUCACUGGGCGUAAAGGGCGCGUAGGCGGGGAGGUAAGUCGGGUGUGAAAUCCCUCGGCCCAACCGAGGAACUGCGCCCGAGACUGCUUCUCUUGAGUCCCGGAGAGGAAGAUGGAAUUCCCGGUGUAGCGGUGAAAUGCGCAGAUAUCGGGAAGAACACCCGUGGCUAAGGCGGCUCUCUAGUACGGUACUGACGCUGAGACGCGAAAGCGUGGGGAGCGAACAGG
rnacentral:rRNA from 1 species